UUCCCAGCUCUUAAACAACGCGGCUUGCUUUCAAAACAUGCUGAUUUUUCGUGACAUACGCCUUCUUAAUCGGAUUUCGCUAAACCGUGUUUCGGAAACUUCCGCAAAUUACGAACAAGAUUGUCGGACGUGUUUUAAGUAAACCUCAACCUCUUCGCCUAUAAAUCGAAGCACUUGGCUCCUGUGAUCGUUACAUCCCCAUCGCUCACUCCACUCUCGAAAACACCUUCCGAAUAUCCUUGCACAUUGCCGGAGAUCGAAGCUCGCCGGAGACGAAGACGACGUCGGAACUCGGUCCAGGCUCAAAUCGUCUUGAUCGGAUAAUCUUCGUUGGUCCAAGUUUCUCAAUCUUUACUCGUGCAUUAU
rnacentral:lncRNA from 1 species